UUGAACGCUGGCGGAAUGCUUUACACAUGCAAGUCGAACGGCAGCACGGGGGCAACCCUGGUGGCGAGUGGCGAACGGGUGAGUAAUGUAUCGGAACGUACCCAGUCGUGGGGGAUAACUAUCCGAAAGGAUAGCUAAUACCGCAUACGUCCUGAGGGAGAAAGCGGGGGAUCGCAAGACCUCGCGCGAUUGGAGCGGCCGAUAUCGGAUUAGCUAGUUGGUGAGGUAAAGGCUCACCAAGGCGACGAUCCGUAGCGGGUCUGAGAGGAUGAUCCGCCACACUGGGACUGAGACACGGCCCAGACUCCUACGGGAGGCAGCAGUGGGGAAUUUUGGACAAUGGGCGCAAGCCUGAUCCAGCCAUGCCGCGUGAGUGAAGAAGGCCUUCGGGUUGUAAAGCUCUUUCGGCGGGGAAGAAAUCGCACGGGUUAAUACCUCGUGUGGAUGACGGUACCCGAAUAAGAAGCACCGGCUAACUACGU
rnacentral:rRNA from 1 species